UGCCCAGCAACUCCUAUUCCUACCUCCUCACGGUACUGGCCGGGGUACGAGUACUUAACCUUAGGGAAGAUCGGAAAACCAACCCCCGGUGGGAACUUUGGUCGUAUGCUGACAGGGAGGG
rnacentral:ribozyme from 1 species